CCUACGGGUGGCAGCAGUGGGGAAUAUUGCACAAUGGGCGCAAGCCUGAUGCAGCCAUGCCGCGUGUAUGAAGAAGGCCUUCGGGUUGUAGAGUACUUCCAGCGGGGAGGAAGGCGAGAAGGUUAAUAACCUUGUCGAUUGACGUUACCCGCAGAAGACGCACCGGCUAACUCCGUGCCAGCAGCCGCGGUAAUACGGAGGGUGCAAGCGUUAAUCGGAAUUACUGGGCGUAAAGCGCACGCAGGCGGUCUGUCCAGUCGGAUGUGAAAUCCCCGGGCUCAACCUGGGAACUGCAUUCGAAACUGGCAGGCUGGAGUCUUGUAGAGGGGGGUAGAAUUCCAGGUGUAGCGGUGAAAUGCGUAGAGAUCUGGAGGAAUACCGGUGGCGAAGGCGGCCCCCUGGACAAAGACUGACGCUCAGGUGCGAAAGCGUGGGGAGCAAACAGGAUUAGAUACCCGGGUAGUC
rnacentral:rRNA from 1 species